AGUGGAAUCGAUUCCAGUGAGAGCUGAAUUCCCAGGAGGUGGGGAAAAAUCAUUUUUCCUCCGGGGAAAAACUAUUAUUGGAAUUUUUUCCUUCUUUCUCACUGUGAUUGCUUGAUUUAUUUAUUUUGCAAUCACUCCUUCUUAUUUAUAGGCAGAUGAGCAGAGGUGAUGAUGAGAAAGCCAGAGAAUUCAUUACAUUUAGUUUUAAUGAUCGUUGAUAGUUAUUCGUAAUUUAUGUUUUCCAUUUACUAUUUUUGGUCUGUGAAUAUUUUUAUGAGAAUAUCGAGGGCUCGGCGAAGCUGAAACGCAGGUGAUAAUGAAAGAGUGGUCACCACUUAAUUUCAAUGGGGCUCGAUAGUCGAUGGUGUUGAAGUUGAAUAAUUUAUUUAACGGUUUUCCGUCUUUCUUAUUCCAAUCAGCUAUUGUCGUUACUUUAUGAAUGUUUUUAUGGCAAUGGCGAUCGUUACCUUUGUUUCUAGGUAAAUAACGUGAAAAAUAAUUGAUUCUUUGGUGAAUGACUAUUUGUCUUUGAGAUAAUUACUCACGGUUCGCGAUCAUCGUAUUUCUUUAGACUGAUUGUUAAGUUUAUUUACACUGCAAUUGGUGAAUACUUUACAAUCACUUUUGAUCAUUAUAUUUUUUUAAUGAUUAAUUCUCGAUUUUCCUCAAUUAUUAUUUUUAUUUUCCCACGGUUAUAUUUGUACACCUUCCAACAGGUUUAUUCAUCAUCUCGCAACUUAUUUAUUUAUGAUGAGUAGACGUGACAAUGAGAGAGCGGUAGAAUUUAUUCAGGUGCAUUGAAAACAUUUAAUGCAAAUCGAAUGCUAAUUCAAAAUGAAAGUAAAAGACUUUUGGAAUUGAUUAAUUUUUUUUUCACUCGUGAAUAACAUAUUAGGCCUGUGGAGGGAAUGGGAAAGAGUCAAACAGAAAUCGCCACUUUCAUCUGGCAAUGGGUCGUCAAGCGUUCACCCGUUAUGGGUCAGUACACGUAGAAGUCGCGUAAUUUCUCCUUGGCGGCCUUGUCGGCCUUUUUUCAUCGGUGUGCAACCAGCAACCGGUGAAAUUCCGGGGCUAGUGACCUCGUGAACUCUUUAUACAAAUCGUGUGUGUGUGUUUUUAUUUCGGGUGGUCCACGGAACUCGAACAGGUUCAAACGCUGACCGAAUUCCUGGGCCUCAAAAUUUUUGAAUAUUUCUCACGGGCAUUUGUCGAUCGCAUUCUUCAGCGAUGUUGCAAGGUGAAAUUCAGGGUCGCCUCUAACCACUUUUUUUUGUCAUUACUAAUGCACUUUCUAGGGUUGUAACGAGGAGGAAGAGGAGGAUGUCAGUCGGUAGAAUCAACUGUUAAAGGAUGGAUAAGCGAAUGAUUGCCAGUAGGAAACAUUAUCAGCGAGAUAAAAAGUCCUGUACGUGAGCGAGUAAGUCUUCCUGGCUUUCAUGAAAUUCCCAUUCCCCAAUUAACCAGCGACUCAUACCCUCUCAUGGGCACUAAUUGAACGUCCGGAAUAAUUAGAAGAAUCUCCUCUCAUUGUGGGAGUUGUCAGAGUAGGAAGGCAAUCUCCCGUGGAAUGUAGUUAAAUCGGUGGAUUAAAGUUUUAAAGGCAUCAGAGUAAUGACAAAAAUUCACGAGUCAAAACUAAUUUACGGGCUCAUUUCGAAGUUGGGCAAUUUUCGUGAAUUAUGGGUGAUAAAUAUUACCAUUCUUUCGGAUGAUAAAUAUGUAGACGAAGUAGAAGACAAUGAGACCGCCAAUGAGAGUCAGCAUCUCUUGAAUCAGUUGUAGUAACAUGCGGAACAUUCAAUUUCACAUAACUUCAUCCAGUGGAGACGUGCAAUGAAUUGUUUCUGUGCAUUGUAUAACUUCCAAAAGCACAAUUGACACAGUUUUCUACAUAAUUCGGUACGUCAUUAUUUUCACACGUGUUUCAUUCAAUAUUUCAACACCAUCAGAGAACACUUUAUUCCAAUGUAGGUAAUAUUAAUGCACAUGAAUAAAAAAAUCUGGGGAUUAACAGAUUGUUGUAAGAAAGACGAUUGAUUUGAUUCGUCGUUCGUCAUUCAUUCUGACAAACUAUCCCAAUAUCUCGGAAACUACUGGGGUAUAACGGAUCGUCUUUCUUUAAUUUCGGAUUGAGUUUCCAAUAACACUUCAACCUUCAAUAAUUAUCGAUAUUGAAAUAGAAAAAUUGCAUUAAAUCCGCACAAAAAUUCUGUUUUCCUCAUUCGGUUUGGUAACCUCCACUUCCUAGAAGCCUCUAACCAAAAGUUAACAGUUAUCCACUAAGAUUACAGGUAAAAUACAUUUCUGCGGCUUUUAUCAGUAAUUUCCAGGCAUUAUCUUCACUGACUACGCAACGACAUCGUUUCUCAUUUUUUUUUUCUUCUAGAAACCUUUGUCACGAUUGGAAACACGGAAGAUGAAAGACAUCAAUUCCGAUUUGUCAAUAAGAGAUUUUUCCAGCCACGAGGGAAUUAUUUACCCAGCUAUGUACAUCCGGACAACAUUGAAGAAAAAAAAUCCAGUAAUUCAACUGAUCUUACGAAUGACUCGAUUUUCCUGCGACACUCUGAUGGUUCGAUUAUAGAAAAUUUUCUGCAUCACAUGCAUCCCGAGAUGAUGCGUGACUGCAGGUGUAUUUUAUAUGGUAUUUGUUGGUGAUUUUCGUCACGUGCGAGCAAUGAAACAACAUAACGGAAUUUUCGUGAGAAUCCUCGCUCAAAGUUCCCGUUCAAUUAGCGCCCGAAGCAAUUCGAAGAGUUCAAGGCCCCAGUAUUUAUUAUUUGAUUCGAUAAAUUUGAGAUUCCAAUGACUCGAUGGAAUGAUGUCGCUUAACUUGGCUUCCUCGAGAUACGAUUUUCGAUCAAAGUCUCCUAUCCGCAUUGCGCAACACGUGACAAAGGUCAGAAGUGGAGAAUAUGUAACAAUAUUAUUUUUAUUCAUGAACGAGGAGCAUUAUUUUAAUUAAAACUGAGGGAGAACAGGAUUUAUCGAGUUCAAGGUAUCGCACGAGUACAGGUAUUCUUCCGAUAUUUAUCUCUUUUCCUGAAUCCCUCUUCGAUUACUCGAAUGUAAGAGACUUUUCAAUAUUUCGAUAUAAGAAUUAACGAGUAUUUUCCGGCUCCGGCGAAUACACUUGUAAAUAAAUAUUAAUGAAUUACUAUUUAUCGCUGAUUAAACGCGCAAAUUUAAAGGGACUGAAGUCCCAAUUAUCAAUUCACAACUGCAUUUUAUUGCACAAUAAUUCCACAGGUUACGUUAUCGCGUGAAAUAAUCGAUGAUCAUUCUCGUAAUUAUCCCCUGAUUACUGACGCACUCACACUGACAUGUAUUUACACUUGCACAGACGUGUAACUUCACCACGUAAAUAACAGGUACACUUCAAGUUCAAUCGGCAAGUUGUCGCGGGAUUUGCGCAGGGAAUUGAAUGUCCGAGUGGCGAUGAUCUACCGCGCAUCCGUGUUAUAUUGAUCUCAUCACUGAUUUUUUUACACGUGUCCGGUGCCACUAACGAUCCACUUCAUGAGUGAUUAGGCCGCGUAAUGGGGACUGGAGAGACAGUUGAAUACUGAGAUGUGAGAAAGACGUCAACGGGGAUGCACGAGGUGGUGGUGUUGCGAACUCAAUGAAAUCCGCCUAACUUGCACGUAAUCACGGUUCGGGGUCUCGAGUGAGACUGGGCAAAACGUUGGGUCUCUCCUGAUAUGCCAGGCAACGUCGUCCAAUACCCCACAUACGACUCUUCUACGGAUUCAUCUACUUCAGUGGGGGACAUUUCACGCGACAGUCUUGGAUUUUUGUAUUUUUUAUUUUUAAUUUUUUUUAUUUUUAUUGAUGGGGUAACGACGUAAAAAAUGACUCUUUUUGGAAUAUCUUGUGGAAAUAUUUUGAAAAAAACUCUUAAAGAAAAACGUUUCUCUCUCUCUCUCUCUCUCUGAUAUUUACUAUUUGAUUUUCAUCGUUAUAAAACCCUUACGUCAAACACAGAGUUGACAUUGGAAUCAAGUGGAAGUAUCAACGCGGAAAUUUAUCUCUGAAAUUUAAACGUUCAAGGCAGAGUUCACAAGUUUUACAACCGGAUAAUCGUAUGAUAAAAAAAUAGAAAUGACGUAAGUGUACCUGGAUUUUCUCUACGUCUUCAAAUCAUCGGGAACUGAUCGAAAAAUAUCGAAUAGUUUAGCAUCUCUCGUGAUAUUAUGAGGGAACAAUUGUCUUCUGUAUUAUUCCCAGGGCUGAAGUCUCUCUUUUCUUCAGCGGGUGAUGGUUUUACGGUUGAAGUAACAAUUUAUCAGACUACCUCAACGAUUUAUUCUAUCUCUACGUGCCAUUUUCACAAAAAUUGUCGCUGAAAUUACGUAGGACAUGAGGUGCAGUUUGUUAGAGAUAUCAAAUGAAUGCGAUACGUCUCCAAUUUCGUUGACAUUUGCGUAUUUCCUUGUUCUUAUUUUCAAUGAGUGAUGAAAAAAAGUGAAAGAAAUCCUCCGGUAGUCAUAGAUUGCGCUGCAGAAUUGAAAUAUGUGACCCAACCACGAUUUUUCCAUGGGAAAAGAAAAUUAUUACGGAUGUAAAUAAACGAAACAAUGGGAUUCAGUGAUUUCUCUAUUUUUCUUUUUACGUCGAGGAAACUUCCUCAUCUGUCUGUAUUUACCCAUUCUAUAUCUGUAGGUGUACAUAAAAGUAUAUACAUAAGACAUAUUGUGACGUAGACCAGAGGCACAAGUCUCCGCAUACCUUGGGCUCAUUAAAUACAUCUAAAAAUAACCCGUUUAAUUCAAAAAUUUUAAUUUGAAUAAAUUUUCAACCAAAAAUGUCACAGAAAAAUUUAAAAAACGAGCGAAAGUUCCCACUGACAUGCAAAUUCACACUCUGAAUGACAUUAAACAUUGGAAAUUGGAAUAAUGAUCCAGCAUCAUGACUCUGCCAUAAAAAAAAACUGUAUAAAUAUUAGUGUCUUACAACAUUUAUUCCUAAUGAGCUAAAUAAUUAUACUUGAAUUUUUUUUUCAUUUUUCAUGGAAAUUUUUAUCAUAAUGGCAAUAACUAAUCGUCGAAUCUUCAAUCAAAAAUAAUCAUCUCUGAUGAAUCUCAAUGAUUUUAGCGGAAAAUAAAAAAUAACAGAAAAAAUCAUAUAAAUAAUUGUUUUUUCAAUUACAGCACAGAAAAAAUACAAAAUAGAAGUUAAUCAAUAUUUUUCCACGUGUUGUCAGUUUCUCAUUUGAAAAUUCUGAGAAAUUGCAAUUUUCCGAAGUAGAAAAACACGUUGACAACAAUACUUUUUAAAUAAAUUUUUAAUUAUCCGUGAAAUUUAGUCUUUUUUCGUUUUGUCUCGUAUCUCCAACAGAUGACGUAGUAUUUUGUGAAUAAUUCAUAUCGAACAAGACAUGAAUAUAAUAUAUAACUGCAUAAUUAAAAAAACGUGUGGGCAACCGAAAAGAGGAAAAAUCAAUGUGAUCAGAAUUGUGGAAUGCUGACUGAUACAACAGUUAUGUUCACUUUCCAAUACAUUAAAUCGACUAGUUAAGAAUAAUAUAAUGUUUAACUUACGCUGAAAUGCAGAGAUAAUCAGGUGAACGAAUAAAACCGAAUAAAAUCUCGGAAAACUUGACAAUCGCUUGCCGUUGAUUGCUCGAGGUGAAUGACUCAACGACCGCGAAUUUUCACAGUGAUUACACAUUCGAUAAUUUCACCAUUUCCGAUUUAUAUUCCCACGGGACAAUAAAUGGUCUACAACGCCGAGACUGAUUUUUAGUCAAUGGAAUGUCGGAAGCAUUCAGAACAUUCCUGAAUUUUGUAAAUCAAUGGAAAAAAUUCUCACUUUGUUAUUAAUGAUUCGAUUGAUAUUUUUAAUCAAAUUGCAAUGCUAAAAUGUCGUCACUAAAACGCAAAAUAUUUCAUUGAUUUUAUUGUAAGUUGACAACAAAAUCACGGGAAAUCCAAGAUUUUGCAUUAAUUAUUGAUUAAAAAAUUGGGAAACGUCAGAUAAAUUCAGGUGAAUAUAUCGUAUAACUUUCUAUCAACUAGACAUUUCCGGAAAUGAGAUCAUUAAAAUGAGGCAUUAUUGAUUUUCUAACUAGUUAACAACAGAAUAAAAAAAUAAAAAUGGAACCUCAAUCACUCCCUAAAUGUCGUGAAUCAUAACUCUCAUGUUUAAUUUUAAAUUCAAGAAAUUUCGAAAAUUCUCACCAAAAAUUCUCUCUCUACCCAAAAAUAUUUCAAUCCACUCGAGUUUAACCGGAAAUGAAAAAUGCCAUCAGUUUACGCCGCCCACAUCGGCAUCAAUAUUGCUCUCCAGAAAGUCACUGCCACGUUGCUGAUGACAUUCAACAUUAUUUUGACAGUGUAUUGGAAUUUCCUAAAUUGAAUUCCUCCACCUCCAUAGAAACGCCAUGACAUUUAGUUAUCUCUCCCACAACGAAAUAUUCCACGCCAGUAGUGACUUGCAUCGUCGUUUUCGUUGGGCAUGGUCCCCCGCGGAUAAUUAAAUUAUUGAUUUUUUCAACGAUCAUUGAUUUUUUUAUCGAUUUUCAUUGAUUUUUCCUCUUAUUAAUAACAAAAUGAUGGAAAUGGAUUCCUUCCCAUGUUCCUCGUCUCACCAAGACAUUGAGAAUUCACCGAUCCUCAACGGCGCACUAACUCAACAAUUUUUCCACGGAAAACCGAUAAUGGAAAGAGGGAACCAGCAAUUGAAGGUAUGAGGAAGCCGUUAUUCCCCCCAGUCCUAGUCUAUGUCGUUGUCAGUUUGGUGUGGCAUGUAAGAAUGUUAUCGCGUGGAGCAUGCUCACACCGAACCGCUUCGCGUGGGAAGGUCGUUCCGAAUUUACAAAUCUGCCCUUUUCAUUACCGAACGCGCCUAAUCAUUCUCCCGAGGAGAUUGUUGCCAACAAAUUGCUAAAACCACUGCUGAUUAUACUGAGUGAUGAUUACGAAUGAGAUAUCAUGAAAUGGCGAGUCACACGAGAAAUUUCCCUCAGGUGUACAUAAAAUCAUGUACACGAAGAUCACGUGUACAUAUGAAUAUGACUGUGUGGACGAGGUGAUUAUUACGUUAUUAGAACAUUUCACGGUACUUACUUGCCAUACACAUCCGUAAAGCAACCGCCAGGUGCGCAAGAGCCCCAGUCAAAUGUACGCCAAAGUCCUCGAAAAACUGAUCAUCUGGUAAUUAGUGUUAGGCAAAGAAACUGGUCUGUCCAGGGGAGGAGGAUCGUCAUGUAUCAUCAGGAUUUAUUGAACAUCGUAAACUCCAUGCGGAGCAUCAAAAGCCUAUCCGAUACUUGCCCGAUGCCUCGCUUGUCGGUCAUGUUAAAGAACCCACCACCCAAUCAUCCACUAUCACUCACCCUUAAACGGCCAACGGCUGUUUUCAUAAAGCAAUUAACUGAAACUAUGACGACUUACAUGAGGAAUGCUGAUAGA